AACGAACGCUGGCGGCAUGCCUAACACAUGCAAGUCGAACGAGACCUUCGGGUCUAGUGGCGCACGGGUGCGUAACGCGUGGGAACCUGCCCUUAGGUUCGGAAUAACUCCCCGAAAGGGGUGCUAAUACCGGAUAAUGUCUUCGGACCAAAGAUUUAUCGCCUUUGGAUGGGCCCGCGUUGGAUUAGCUAGUUGGUAGGGUAAAAGCCUACCAAGGCGACGAUCCAUAGCUGGUCUGAGAGGAUGAUCAGCCACACUGGGACUGAGACACGGCCCAGACUCCUACGGGAGGCAGCAGUGGGGAAUAUUGGACAAUGGGCGAAAGCCUGAUCCAGCAGGGCCGCGUGAGUGAUUAAGGCCUUAGGGUUGUAAAGCUCUUUUACCCGGGAUGAUAAUGACAGUACCGGGAGAAUAAGCGCCGGCUAACUCCGUG
rnacentral:rRNA from 1 species